UGGGGAAUAUUGGACAAUGGGCGCAAGCCUGAUCCAGCCAUGCCGCGUGUGUGAAGAAGGCCUUAGGGUUGUAAAGCACUUUCAGUGGGGAGAAAAGUGAUUCACCUAAUACGUGAGUCAAUUGAUGUUACCCACAGAAGAAGCACCGGCUAACUCCGUGCCAGCAGCCGCGGUAAUACGGAGGGUGCAAGCGUUAAUCGGAAUUACUGGGCGUAAAGCGCACGUAGGUGGUUUGUUAAGCCAGCUGUGAAAUCCCCGGGCUCAACCUGGGCACUGCAGUUGGAACUGGCAAGCUAGAGUAGGGUAGAGGGGUGUGGAAUUCCAGGUGUAGCGGUGAAAUGCGUAGAUAUCUGGAGGAACAUCAGUGGCGAAGGCGACACCCUGGACUCAUACUGACACUGAGGUGCGAAAGCGUGGGGAGCAAACAGG
rnacentral:rRNA from 1 species